GCAUAUCACGUUGAAACAUUGGUUUCCAUAUGAUCACUGAAGUUAAGCAAUGUCAAGCCAGGUCAGUACCUAGACGGGUGAACACUUGAGAAUACCAAGUGCUGUAAG